rnacentral:tRNA from 1 species
UAUAUAGUUUAAAUAAAAAAACAUUAUAUUUUCAUUAUAAAAUUAAAUUACCCUUUUUUUAUAAAUA